UACGGAGGGGGCUAGCGUUGUUCGGAAUUACUGGGCGUAAAGGGCGCGUAGGCGGAUAUUUAAGUUGGGGGUGAAAUCCCGGGGCUCAACCUCGGAACUGCCUUCGAUACUGCGGGUCUCGAGUCCGGGAGAGGUGAGUGGAAUUCCUAGUGUAGAGGUGAAAUUCGUAGAUAUUAGGAAGAACACCAGUGGCGAAGGCGGCUCACUGGCCCGGUACUGACGCUGAGGCGCGAAAGCGUGGGGAGCAAACAGG
rnacentral:rRNA from 1 species